GUAGUAACACGUGAGUAACCUGCCCUUGACUUUGGGAUAACUUCAGGAAACUGGGGCUAAUACCGGAUAGGAGCUCCUGCUGCAUGGUGGGGUUGGAAAGUUUCGGCGGUUGGGGAUUGACUCGCGGCUUAUCAGCUUGUUGGUGGGGUAGUGGCUUACCAAGGCUUUGACGGGUAGCCGGCCUGAGAGGGUGACCGGCCACAUUGGGACUGAGAUACGGCCCAG
rnacentral:rRNA from 1 species